rnacentral:rRNA from 1 species
UACGUAGGUGGCAAGCGUUGUCCGGAAUUAUUGGGUGUAAAGGGUGCGUAGGUGGUUACAUAAGUCUGUGGUAGAAGUUCGGGGCUCAACCCCGUGAUGCCAUAGAAACUGUGUAACUUGAGUAUAGUAGAGGUUAGUGGAAUUCAAUGUGGAGCGGUGGAAUGCGUAGAUAUAUUGAGGAACACCAGUGGCGAAGGCGACUAACUGGGCUAUUACUGACACUGAGGCACGAAAGCGUGGGGAGCAAAUAGG